rnacentral:rRNA from 1 species
UGGGGAAUUUUCCGCAAUGGGCGCAAGCCUGACGGAGCAAUACCGCGUGAGGGAGGAAGGCUUUUGGGUUGUAAACCUCUUUUGUUAAGGAAGAAGAAGUGACGGUACUUAACGAAUCAGCAUCGGCUAACUCCGUGCCAGCAGGCGCGGUAAUACGGAGGAUGCAAGCGUUAUCCGGAACCAUUGGGCGUUAAGCGUCCGCAGGUGGUUCAUCAAGUCUGCUGUUAAAGACAGAAGCUCAACUUCUGAGGGGCAGUGGAAACUGGUGGACUAGAGUACGGUAGGGGUUGAGGGAAUUCCCAGUGUAGCGGUGAAAUGCGUAGAGAUUGGGAAGAACACCAGUGGCGAAGGCGCUCGACUGGGCCGUAACUGACACUCAGGGACGAAAGCGAGGGUAGCGAAAGGGAUUAGAUACCCCCGUAGUCC